AUACGUAGGGAGCGAGCGUUGUCCGGAAUUACUGGGUGUAAAGGGAGCGUAGGCGGGAGUGCAAGUCAGAUGUGAAAUACAUGGGCUCAACCCAUGGGCUGCAUUUGAAACUGCAUUUCUUGAGUGAAGUAGAGGUAAGCGGAAUUCCUGGUGUAGCGGUGAAAUGCGUAGAUAUCAGGAGGAACACCGGUGGCGAAGGCGGCUUACUGGGCUUUUACUGACGCUGAGGCUCGAAAGCGUGGGGAGCAAACAGGAUUAGAUACCCUGGUAGUCCACGCUGUAAACGAUGAUUACUAGGUGUGCGGGGACUGACCCCUUCCGUGCCGCAGUUAACACAAUAAGUAAUCCACCUGGGGAGUACGGCCGUAAGGUUGAAACUCAAAGGAAUUGACGGGG
rnacentral:rRNA from 1 species